AUAAGAGGCGAGGGUUCACCCGUUCCCAUUCCGAACACGGAAGUUAAGCUCGCCAUCUCCCACGAUACUCGGAUGGAGACGUCCCGGGAAAAUAGGUCGAUGCC
rnacentral:rRNA from 1 species